UGCUUUCCAUGUGUUAAUUUGUUUAGUUCUUGCAAGAUCCUUCAGGUAGUUACUAUUAUUAUUUCCUUUUUACAGAUGAGGAAACUGAAUCACAAAGAGGUUAUAUAAAAAUAUGUUAAAGUGCUUGGAACAGAAGCCGGUAAUUAUUUUUAUUGUAAUCAUUUUGUUAUACUCCCAUUCUUGGGCUGAGCAGGAUGUUGAAUAGCUGAGGUGACGGUACCUGCAAGGCGAAAGGCAAAGUCAGUUCACAGACUGAUAAGGUGUCACAGACUUCAUCUCUAUAAAUAUGUAGCUCUUCCCAAAACUGAAAAUAAUAAAUAGAAAUUUCCACCCUGUUUUACUGGGAUCCUUUCCUAAUGUCAUACUUUGGUGUGGAACAUAUUUAAAGGCCAGUCAUGAGGCAGAGAAGUGGAAUGAAGUCCACCAGAGAUGGCGAAUUUUUCGUGGAAAAACUGCAAUGACACCACAGAAUCAACACAGAUACUGGGGAAAUGAGAUAUGUGUGGACACAUUUUAUAAGGAGGAGCUCCUUCUGUAUAUCUCAAUAUCUGAAUUUGGCAGAUUGUUUUGUAAUUAUC
rnacentral:lncRNA from 1 species